AAAAUAAGGAAAUUAUUUGAAAAUUUGAAAAGCAAUGGAACUGCUUUUCCCGGUGUGGCCUGAGAACCUCCCGGACCCCACUCUGUUCCUGGGGAUUCGCCCUUCCCACCAGAGCACUGCCAG